rnacentral:rRNA from 1 species
GACGAACGCUGGCGGCGUGCCUAAUACAUGCAAGUCGAACGCAGUGGGGACGGGUGAGUAACACGUGGGUAACCUCCCAUCAGAGGGGAUAACACUUGGAAACAGGUGCUAAAUAGCUAUUGAUGGAUGGACUCGGGGUGCAUUAGCUAGUUGGUGAGGUAACGGCUCACCAAGGCCACGAUGCAUAGCCGACCUGAGAGGGUGAUCGGCCCCACUGGUACGGAGACACGGCCCAGACUCCUACGGUAGGCAGCAGUAGGGAAUCUUCGGCAAAGGACGAAAGUCUGACCGAGCCACGCCGCGUGAGUGCAGAAGGUUUUCGGGUCGUAAAACUCUGUUGUUAGAGGAGCGGUAUCUAACCAGAAAGCCACGGCUAACUACGUGCCAGCAGCCGCGGUAAUUC